rnacentral:lncRNA from 1 species
ACCUAACUCACUCACCUUUGUGGGCAGGAAAGGAAAUGGGACCAAGUAGCCGCUCGUGUGACAAAGCUUGCACUCCGUUUGCAACAGUUGGCAUGUUGAAAUCAGACCCACAGGCCUUGCAACAUUUCUGCCGUUCGCACAGCAUGUCCCAAUCAAAACAGCCUCUUAUGAAUAGGGAGCAACCCCAGGUUGGUUCAAGUCUUGCUCUCAUCUCAUCUUGGCAGAUAUUAAAACUAGAGACAAGAGAAAAAAAACGAUGAAGGUUGUUUACCUUUUCUGCCUGCUGUUCUUCAUGGCAGUCGUCCUUCCGUGGGGAGCGGCCCAAGUGAGUGGUGGCCAAGCCUGUCUCCACAAGCAGGGGACUUGCCGUCGAAGAUGCGGUCGGAAUCAGGUUCCCUCUGGAAGCUGCCAGCAGUGGAGGUGGUAAAGAGGAGUGUACCAGGAUGGGGGGCUCGUGUCACCAAACGUUUUGCGGCUAUGGAAUGCAUCGUGUCGGAAACUGUUUCCCAGGUGUGCCCUGCUGUGUUUCAAUCUAGGAAGGAACCAACGUUGUGGAGACACCGGGAAGCCUUGACAGAGAGUGGCUACAUCAGGGGAAGAAACAACUCACAACCAAUCAUUUCUCAACUCUUGUCACUUCUCUUUCACUUUCAUUAAAAUUGACAUUGCAUCUAUUUCACUGAGUAUGUCGUAUUUCACUGUAGUCGAUGGCACCCUUGUCACCCAUUUUCAUCAAUAAGGAUAAACUA